GUGGGUGUGAGGAAGAAGAACACCCUGACCACUGCCGUGGGAGUGCCCAUGGAACCAGACACAUCCUCCACCGGGAUCCCCUAGGGACACAGGAAGGACAGGAGAGAAAACAGCUUCCUGGCUCCCUGCACACAAAGAGUGGGGCUGGUCAGCUCAUCCCUGCCUGGAACCCACUAUGGUGUCUCGUCAAGCUAACUGCCUACCCCAACAUCAGGACCACGGAAGAGGGAACUCCAUUCAAGUAUCCCCCUGGGGACCAGGUGGACUUCAGCGUGGACACGCAACAGGACAGGGAGAGGCAGCCUGCCUCCCUCCUCCCCAGCCCAGCCGGAGAAGAGGGUUGAGAAAAAAGCAGAGAGAGGAACCCAGGGCAGACUUCCCGGGCCCCAGGCUCGGGAGUGGGGGGGAACAGAGGGGUCUAAGUGGGUCCCCAAGUGGUCAACAGCAAGGGGCCACCCCGGCUUCUUCCCUCGGAACCCGUUA